GACGAACGCUGGCGGCGUGCUUAACACAUGCAAGUCGAACGGUGAAGGGAUCAGCUUGCUGGUUCUGGAUGAGUGGCGAACGGGUGAGUAACACGUGAGUAACCUGCCCCCUUCUUCUGGAUAACCGCAUGAAAGUGUGGCUAAUACGGGAUAUUCUGCGCCUGCUGCAUGGUGGGUGUGGGAAGGAUAUUGUUUCGGUGGGGGAUGGGCUCGCGGCCUAUCAGCUUGUUGGUGGGGUGAUGGCCUACCAAGGCGGUGACGGGGAGCCGGCCUGAGAGGGUGGACGGUCACACUGGGACUGAGACACGGCCCAGACUCCUACGGGAGGCAGCAGUGGGGAAUAUUGCACAAUGGGCGCAAGCCUGAUGCAGCGACGCCGCGUGAGGGAUGGAGGCCUUCGGGUUGUGAACCUCUUUCGCCAGUGAAGCAGGCCUGUCCCUUGUGGGUGGGUUGACGGUAGCUGGAUAAGAAGCGCCGGCUAACUACGUG
rnacentral:rRNA from 1 species